GACUCACCUUGAAUACAGCAGAGCUGGUAUUCAAACCCUGGCUUCAGAGUCCAUGCUCCUAACCACGAUGGAAGGACCAUUUAGUCAACAAGGCCAUUCAGAGGAGGCUUCUUGGAAGAGGUGUGUUCGACUGAAAUUUGAAGGAUUAGUUAUUUUCCAACAGAUGUUGAUCCCCAGAGUCCCUCCCUAUCAACCUCCUGCGUGAUCCUCUUCGUCUCAGAGUCAAUGUCCAGGGGAAUUGGACCUUCACACAGGAAAUCACUGAAGAUCAAGUCUGAUCCAAGUAUUGAGUUAGGAUUCUAGGUGGACAGUCUUAUCCCCAGUCCUAUAAAAAUGUCACUCUCCUC